rnacentral:piRNA from 1 species
UCAACAUUACCAUUGCAUGACUCCCUCAGG